AGCAGAAGAUAGUAUGCCUCAGGAUGUGUUUUUUAAUAGACCUUUUCGCGGUUGCGAAGUGCAUCUUGGGUAAUCAGGGCAAACAAACAACAAAGUUAGUUCGAUUUAGUGAAGGAAAGCUAAAGAGUUUGUGCUUAUUUUUAAUGUUCUGUUAAUUAGAUUUAGCACUUAUUAUUCAAUAUUAUUAUUAGAAAAUAUUCGAUGUUUUAUAAAUUGGUUUUUUGAUCGAUAAAAAAUAAUAAAUAUGAAUUUAAACUGCAAAACAACUGUAGUGUAUAAUGCCAUACUGCUACGUAUUGUUGCUCUGUUGGUUGUAAUUAUGAUUUCAUUUAAAAGAAUUCAAUAGACAGUGCCAAAUUUUACUGUUUUCCUGAUGAUUUGGCAAAAAGCAACCUUAAUCAUGUCGUAAAAGAUUUAUUUAUUUCGAGUUUUGAAAACCUAUUUUGCUUUGCUUAUACAUGAAAGUAUCGUUAUGCAAAAUAAAAAUCUUCUACAAAAAAAAAGAAAAACUUAAGUGAAUUAUUUUUAUAUUGUCAUUAGAUUGAGAUAAACUUGAUUAGAACAUUUGCUUAAAACGGCUUAGCAUAUUCAAAGGCCUUGGAAAUGUUGCUUUCUUACGUGCAGAGAAAUGAAAAUAUAAUGCACUACUGGAAAGAUAAAAGUCCAGCUAAAGAUUAAUUUUGCUACAGGAUUUAAAAACAAUAUAAUUAAAAUCUCUAGUAUGAUAACAGAUAUUUUUGUGAUAAUAAAUAAAAUGAAGAUUCUGCUUAUCAUUUA
rnacentral:lncRNA from 1 species